rnacentral:rRNA from 1 species
AUUGAACGCUGGCGGCAGGCCUAAUACAUGCAAGUCGAACGAGUGGCGGACGGGUGAGUAAUGUCUGGGAAACUGCCCGAUGGAGGGGGAUUACUACUGGAAACGGUAGCUAAUACCGCAUACCAUCAGAUGUGCCCAGAUGGGAUUGGCUUGUUGGUGGGGUAACGGCUCACCACGGCGACGAUCCCUAGCUGGUCUGAGAGGAUGACCAGCCACACUGGAACUGAGACACGGUCCAAACUCCUACGGGAGGCAGCAGUGGGGAAUAUUGCACAAUGGGCGCAAGCCUGAUGCAGCCAUGCCGCGUGUAUGAAGAAGGCCUUCGGGUUGUAAAGUACUUUCAGCGGGGAAGCGUUACCCGCAGAAGAAGCACCGGCUAACUCCGUGCCAGCCGCCGCGGUAAUUC